rnacentral:rRNA from 1 species
GACGUGACUUCAGAGUUUGAUCCUGGCUCAGGAUGAACGCUGGCGGCGUGCUUAACACAUGCAAGUCGAACGAAGCACUUUAAACUGAUUCUUCGGAUGAAGUUUUUUGUGACUUAGUGGCGGACGGGUGAGUAACGCGUGAGUAACCUGCCUUACACAGGGGGAUAACAGUUAGAAAUGACUGCUAAUACCGCAUAAGCGCACAGGACCGCAUGGUCUGGUGUGAAAAGUUUUUCGGUGUAAGAUGGACUCGCGUCUGAUUAGCUAGUUGGUGAGGUAAUGGCUCACCAAGGCGACGAUCAGUAGCCGACUUGAGAGAGUGAUCGGCCACAUUGGGACUGAGACACGGCCCAA